rnacentral:rRNA from 1 species
AUUGAACGCUGGCGGCAUGCUUUACACAUGCAAGUCGAACGGCAGCAUGGGUGCUUGCACCUGAUGGCGAGUGGCGAACGGGUGAGUAAUGUAUCGGAACAUAUCCGCAAGUGGGGGAUAACGUAGCGAAAGUUACGCUAAUACCGCAUAUUCCCUGAGGGGGAAAGGAGGGGAUCCGCAAGGACCUUUCGCUUACGGAGUGGCCGAUAUCAGAUUAGCUAGUUGGUGAGGUAAAGGCUCACCAAGGCUUCGAUCUGUAGCGGGUCUGAGAGGAUGAUCCGCCAGACUGGGACUGAGACACGGCCCAGACACCUACGGGAGGCAGCAGUGGGGAAUUUUGGACAAUGGGGGCAACCCUGAUCCAGCCAUGCCGCGUGAGUGAAGAAGGCCUUCGGGUUGUAAAGCUCUUUCAGCCGGAAAAGAAUCGCAUCACCUAAUACGUGGUGUGGAUGAUGGUACCGGAAGAAGAAGCACCGGCUAACUACGUGCCAGCAGCCGCCGUAAGAC